UGGAAAUGAGGACAAAAAUGUGAACCUGCAUAAAACGAUGAAGACUUCUAAUCCAACUCUGAUCCAAGCACCGUG